rnacentral:rRNA from 1 species
CAGCAGCCGCGGGAAUACGGAGGGUGCAAGCGUUAAUCGGAAUUACUGGGCGUAAAGCGUGCGUAGGCGGUUUGUUAAGUCUGCUGUGAAAUCCCCGGGCUCAACCUGGGAAUGGCAGUGGAUACUGGCAAGCUAGAGUGUGUCAGAGGAUGGUGGAAUUCCCGGUGUAGCGGUGAAAUGCGUAGAGAUCGGGAGGAACAUCAGUGGCGAAGGCGGCCAUCUGGGACAACACUGACGCUGAGGCACGAAAGCGUGGGGAGCAAACAGGAUUAGAUACCCGUGUAGUCCCUGUCUCUUAUAC